UACAGAGGUCCCGAGCGUUGUCCGGAAUUAUUGGGCGUAAAGAGCUCGUAGGCGGUUCGUCGCGUCGGCUGUGAAAACCCGGAGCUCAACUCCGGGCCUGCAGUCGAUACGGGCGGACUUGAGUGUUGCAGGGGAGACUGGAAUUCCUGGUGUAGCGGUGAAAUGCGCAGAUAUCAGGAGGAACACCGGUGGCGAAGGCGGGUCUCUGGGCAACUACUGACGCUGAGGAGCGAAAGCGUGGGGAGCGAACAGG
rnacentral:rRNA from 1 species